CAUGCAUGUGAUGUGAAGAUAGACAGGGACAUCAGAAAUCCCUUGGGGCAUAUGUUGUGAUUUGUCUUGGGAAUCUCUCUGAUGCGUA
rnacentral:snoRNA from 1 species